CAGAAACAGCUCUUUCCAUGUGAAACGUUGUGCCAGGUGUGCCCAGAGCACCCAAAACUUGAUGAGGCUGUUCUAGUUACCAAUAAAGCGAGGAUUGUCAGCAUGAUGGGAGUGAUUGAGAAUGUUUCAACACACCAUAGAUCGUGUCCUCAGUGCCACAUGGUUUACAGAUACCAGGAGUGGACAGAUGGGCUUCAUAACUUUGACAACCACGUUGUUUUGUCUCUUGAACUCUGCCUUUUUUUUGAGAGAAAAUCUGCAGAACCAUGUAUCCACUUCAAGGGUCAUUGACUCAUUGGAGGGCUUAAGAAGAGUGAAGUUUCCUUCUAGGGAUACCAUUUUUCAUGCUUAUUGCCAUUUUGAGGCUUUGACUGACACAGACUACAUGUACUCCUGCAUAAACUGUGGGUUUCACCCCCCUGUGGUAGUUAUGGACUUACACAGAAAAGGGGUGUUCAAGUUAGCAGUGAGUGACCUCAAAGCCCGGA